GGCUGAAACACAUUAUCGCCUUUCUCAAGUGGCCCAUCAAGAGACACUAGCUUAUGCGCGUGACCCCGACCGCCUCCGCCUUUGGGAUUUUUUUCCUCUGUUUGCCGAAAAGGAGAUUCCCUGUCGGAAUUUUACCGCUUUUCUACGAGAAAAAUGACGUAAAAAUUGAUUUUAAACAGCGGUUGACAUGCUUCGACGUACGGCAAUUGAAUACUUUGAAUUUUAUUGUCAGGAAUUGCGCCAAGCGCGCGACACUUCUUUACUAUUUCGGAUAGUGUCUGGAACGCAUACGAACAAAACGCCGCUAUUCGGAUAUAACGAUGGAUUAUUUUGGACCAAACCAACAUUUGUUAUUGAAGUAGACGUCCUGGGUGUGCAUUCUGACGAAGACAACAAAAGCCAACUCCAAAGAGACUACUUUCAAGUCCUCCAUCCCCCACUCAUUCAAACGUAGGAACGGGUUCCUCCAGUCUGACCCCUCUGCUGUCUCUGCCUCCAUACCCACCUGCAGCCCGGCCAUCUAGAUGUGUGAAGGUUAGCACCUUUUAUGUAGGGAAGCUAAGGAUCCAUCAUGUAUAACAUUCCUGGGAGUUUGUAAACUCACAUGUUUUAUUACCAUAGCAUGUUUGUAUGUUCUCUAUAGUUAUGUACUUGGACAAGUAUCAGUUUACCAAUUCGGCCACUUGGGUACAUUUGGGCAAACUCGUGAG
rnacentral:lncRNA from 1 species